GCGCGCGGUGACGUCACCGCAUCUUUAUAAAGGGCCGCCAAAAGUUUCCUAACGUGUAAACGCGAAAGUUUCCUGAGGUGUAGCUGCAACCAGAAGGCCCAGUUCUGGUGGUGAUUUCACUUUUGACAGAAGCUGUCCCUCAAAAGCAAACGUGUGAUAGAAGAAACAGAUCUCAUCACCUGCAUGGGAGAAAUCAUUCUUAUGACACCCGUCUCCUUUGUGACUUUGCUGGGGUGAAAAGGGGACAAACACCUACACCAAAAUCCAGUCGUCAUCAAGUAGACUCGGAAGCGUCGGCCGUUAGCGCAGAUGGGUGAAGAGCAUGUGCCUGGGCUGACAGCAGCUCUGGUGUCAUUGUUGCUACUGCGGCAAUACAGGAGGGAUCUGUGUUCCAGUGAGGCACAUGUGGUCAGUCAUCCCUCAAGCAAGAGAGGGGUGUUACCACACGCCACCCUCGACUCCCGCAUGCAUCUGUUUGUUUGCCUGAGCCUCCAUUAUGCCAACACAAAUCCCCCACACAUUUGCGGUUUGCAUCCCUUCAUAUUUAUUACACUCUGUCUCCCACUGAACAUCCAGGGAAGAGAAAAAAUUGCGAUGUCAACAAAACUCACUUGUUUUCAUGAACAGCAUUCUUAAUGAGGAGGCACCAACACAUGGCAAAAUUUCUGAAACUCUAAAGAUGGGACAUUGAAUAAAAGAGAGACCUUUUCCUACUUGCA